UAAGACGAACCGCCCAAACGUUAUUCGGAAUCACUGGGCUUAAAGGGUAUGUAGGCGGCAUGGUCAGUUGGGUGUGAAAUCCCUCGGCUUAACCGAGGAAUUGCGCCCAAUACUGCCAAGCUCGAGGGAGACAGGGGUAAGCGGAACUGAUGGUGGAGCGGUGAAAUGCGUUGAUAUCAUCAGGAACACCGGUGGCGAAAGCGGCUUACUGGGUCUCUUCUGACGCUGAGGUACGAAAGCUAGGGUAGCGAACGGGAUUAGAUACCCCGGUAGUCCUAGCUGUAAACGAUGAGCACUUGGUCGAAGACUCCUCCAUAGGUUUUCGGUCGUAGAGAAAUUGUUAAGUGCUCCGCCUGGGGAGUAUGGUCGCAAGGCUG
rnacentral:rRNA from 1 species